rnacentral:tRNA from 1 species
UCCCUCGAGCCGGAUUUGAACCAGUGACCUAAGGAUCACCGUUGUAACAUCUACAGUCCUUCGCUCUGCCAACUGAGCUAUCGAGGG